ensembl:lncRNA
CACAGGGCAGUUCUCCAUUUGUGGUGGUGAAGGAGCUGCUGAUCACAGCCAAGGCUAAAAGGGACCAGGAGUGCCUUGUCACAGGAUGUGGAUGGUGACUGAGCCACUAAUGUAAACUUGUAUCCUGAUUGUUUUAAAAACAUGUAUUAUUGGCCUGGUUCAUAGCAAUAAUGAGUUUUCAGUUCCUGUCAUCAAAAGAAAGCAACAAGAGGAGCAAAGCAAACGCCAGAGACAAUUGAAUGAAAAUGAAAGCAGGAGCAUUCAUUACCUACGUGGGAUUUUGACUCUAAAGCAGCUUUCUGCAAUUUCUGAUCACAGCUCCCCUUCAUAUUUCUCAACUUACUAUAUCAAUAUUUAUACAUUUUGGAUAACCAGCCAAUAUUGUACAGCUAGAU